rnacentral:rRNA from 1 species
GACGAACGCUGGCGGCGUGCCUAAUACAUGCAAGUAGAACGCUGAAGAGAGGAGCUUGCUCUUCUUGGCUGAGUUGCGAACGGGUGAGUAACGCGUAGGUAACCUGCCUUGUAGCGGGGGAUAACUAUUGGAAACGAUAGCUAAUACCGCAUAACAAUGGAUGACACAUGUCAUUUAUUUGAAAGGGGCAAUUGUUCCACUACAAGAUGGACCUGCGUUGUAUUAGCUAGUAGGUGAGGUAAUGGCUCACCUAGGCGACGAUACAUAGCCGACCUGAGAGGGUGAUCGGCCACACUGGGACUGAGACACGGCCCAGACUCCUACGGGAGGCAGCAGUAGGGAAUCUUCGGCAAGGGGGGCAACCCUGACCGAGCAACGCCGCGGGAGUGAAGAAGGGUUUCGGAUCGUAAAGCUCUGUUGUAAGUCAAGAACGGGUGUGAGAGUGGAAAGUUCACACUGUGACGGUAGCUUACCAGAAAGGGACGGCUAACUACGUG